GAUGAACGCUGACAGAAUGCUUAACACAUGCAAGUCAACUUGAACUUCGGUUUGGGUGGCGGACGGGUGAGUAGCGCGUAAAGAACUUGCCUCACAGAUAGGGACAACAUUUGGAAACGAAUGCUAAUACCUGAUAUUAUGAUUAUAUGGCAUCGUAUAAUUAUGAAAGCUAUAUGCGCUGUGAGAGAGCUUUGCGUCCCAUUAGCUAGUUGGAGAGGUAACGGCUCACCAAGGCGAUGAUGGGUAGCCGGCCUGAGAGGGUGAUCGGCCACAAGGGGACUGAGACACGGCCCUUACUCCUACGGGAGGCAGCAGUGGGGAAUAUUGGACAAUGGACCAAGAGUCUGAUCCAGCAAUUCUGUGUGCACGAUGAAGUUUUUCGGAAUGUAAAGUGCUUUCAGUUGGGAAGAAAAAAAUGACGGUACCAACAGAAGAAGUGACGGCUAAAUACGUG
rnacentral:rRNA from 1 species